rnacentral:rRNA from 1 species
UUCCGGUUGAUCCUGCCGGACCCCACUGCUAUCGGGGUGGGACUAAAACAUGCAAGUCGAGCGCCUUCAAGCUAUGGUGAAGGCGCGGCAAACGGCUCAGUAACACGUGGCCAACCUACCCUUGGGACGGAGACACCCCCGGGAAACUGGGGCUAAUCCCCGAUAGGUAAGGAAUCCUGGAAUGGAUCUUUGCUGAAAGGGCGUCUAGACCAUGCUUCUUAACGUCGCCCAAGGAUGGAGCCGCGGCCGAUCAGGUAGUUGGCGAGGCAACGGCUCACCAAGCCUAUAACCGGUACGGGCCGUGAGAGCGGUAGCCCGGAGAUGGGCACUGAGACAAGGGCCCAGGCCCCACGGGGCGCAGCAGUUGCGAAAACUCCGCAAUGCGCGAAAGCGUGACGGGGCUACCCCGAGUGCCGCCCGUUGAGGGCGGCUUUUCCACGGUGUAAGGAGCCGUGGGAAUAAGGAGAGGGCAAGACUGGUGUCAGCCGCCGCGGUAAUACCAGCUCUCCGAGUGGUGGGGACGAUUAUUGGGCUUAAAGCGUUCGUAGCCGGCUUAACAAGUCUUCCGUUAAAUCCAACGAUCUAAUCGUUGGGCUGCGGGAGAUACUGUUGGGCUAGGAGGCGGGAGAAGCCGACGGUAUUCUCGGGGUAGGGGUGAAAUCCUGUAAUCCCGGGAGGACCACCAGUGGCGAAGGCGGUCGGCUAGAACGCGCUCGACGGUGAGGGACGAAAGCUGGGGGAGCGAAUCGGAUUAGAAACCCGAGUAGUCCCAGCUGUAAACGAUGCGGGCUAGGUGUUGGGGUGGCCACGAGCCACUUCAGUGCCGCAUGGAAAGCAAUUAAGCCCGCCGCCUGGGGAGUACGGCCGCAAGGCUGAAACUUAAGGAAUUGGCGGGGGAGCACCACAAGGCGUGAAGCUUGCGGUUUAAUUGGAAUCAACGCCGG